UACGUAGGGUGCAAGCGUUAAUCGGAAUUACUGGGCGUAAAGUGUGCGCAGGCGGCUUCGCAAGUCGAGUGUGAAAAUCCCCCGAGCUUAACUUGGGAAUUGCGCUCGAAACUACGGAGCUGGAGUGUGGCAGAGGAAGGUGGAAUUCCACGUGUAGCGGUGAAAUGCGUAGAGAUGUGGAGGAACACCGAUGGCGAAGGCAGUCUUCUGGGCCAACACUGACGCUCAUGCACGAA
rnacentral:rRNA from 1 species